rnacentral:rRNA from 1 species
CAGCAGCCGCGGUAAUACGUAGGUGGCAAGCGUUGUCCGGAAUUAUUGGGCGUAAAGGGCUCGCAGGCGGUUUCUUAAGUCUGAUGUGAAAGCCCCCGGCUCAACCGGGGAGGGUCAUUGGAAACUGGGAAACUUGAGUGCAGAAGAGGAGAGUGGAAUUCCACGUGUAGCGGUGAAAUGCGUAGAGAUGUGGAGGAACACCAGUGGCGAAGGCGACUCUCUGGUCUGUAACUGACGCUGAAGAGCGAAAGCGUGGGGAGCGAACAGGAUUAGAUACCCCCGUAGUCCCUGUCUCUUAUAC